rnacentral:rRNA from 1 species
CGAGGAUUCCCUUAGUAACGGCGAGUGAACGGGGAAAAGCCCAGCGCUAAAUUUCAUUGCUCAAACGGGUGAUGAGAGGUGUAGCGUAUAGGAGGCGAGUUCUCCUUGAUGGCUGUCGACUUAAAUUCUCCUUGACUGGGGUUCCAGAGAAGGUGAAAGGCCUGUUCAGUCGAUGGCCACCGAGGAUUCCGCUUUCCUUGGAGUCGGGUUGUUUGGGAACGCAGCCCAAAUUGGGUGGUAAACUUCAUCUAAGGCUAAAUACGGCCACGAAACCGAUAGCAAACAAGUACCGUGAGGGAAAGUUGAAAAGUACUUUGAAGAGAGAGUUCAAGAGGACGUGAAACCGGUAGGAUGGAAACGGAUAGAGCCAAUGAACAAGCCCGUAUUCAGCUAGUCGGCUGCGUGCGGCCUAGCCAACACUCCCCGAUUGGGGGUUUGGUUGGGUGCGGUAUGCGGUUGGCUAGUGCAUUUGCGGGUGAUGUGCGCUGAGGCGUGUGAUGAAGCCCUUCGAACCGUCUUUAGAGGCCUUAGCUUCGGCUUUGAAACCUGAAGGCGGGUAGGAGUGGUUUUUGUUGCACGUAGAUAAUGCGGUCAGGUUUCUCGCGCUGCCGUGUUGUGGAGGCUAGUCCUUUGGUCGGUCGCUUGCGACAUGGCCUUAUGGAUUGGUCCCUGCAAUGCGUGAGCGAACUGACCGAGCCUCGGUGUAAAAGUUGGUCAUCUCUCCGACCCGUCUUGAAACACGGACCAAGGAGUCUAGCGUAUACGCGAGUCAUUGGGUGGUAAACCCAUAGGCGAAAUGAAAGUGAAGGUUCAGCAAUGGACUGAUAUGCGAUCCGGUGUCCGAAAGGCAUCGGCGCAGCAUAGCCCCGUCUUAACUGCUUGCAGUAGGGCGGAGGUAGAGCGUAUUCGCUGGUACCCGAAAGAUGGUGAACUAUGCCUGAGCAGGAUGAAGC